CCCGGAAAAGCUGAAACGGUGCGGUAAGAGCGCACCAGCGCUGCGGCAACGUAGCGGCUUGGCAAACCCCACCCGGAGCAAGGGCGAAUAGGAGCGGUUACGGCUGGCCCGGCCACGCUCGGGUACGCCCGCACGAGGCCGCCGGCGACGGUGGUCCCAGAUAGAUGGUCGUCCACGACAGAAUCCGGCUUACAGGCCCACUCCCGCC
rnacentral:RNase_P_RNA from 1 species